rnacentral:rRNA from 1 species
UUGAAAGGGAAGCGCUUGUGACCAGACUUGGGCUUGGUUGAUCAUCCGGGGUUCUCCCCGGUGCACUCUUCCGGCUCAGGCCAGCAUCAGUUCGCCCUGGGGGAUAAAGGCUUCGGGAAUGUGGCUCUCUCCGGGGAGUGUUAUAGCCCGCUGCGUAAUACCCUGUGGCGGACUGAGGUUCGCGCAUUCGCAAGGAUGCUGGCGUAAUGGUCAUCAGUGACCCGUCUUGAAACACGGACCAAGGAGUCGUCUUCGUAUGCGAGUGUUCGGGUGUCAAACCCCUACGCGAAAUGAAAGUGAACGCAGGUGAGAGCUUCGGCGCAUCAUCGACCGAUCCUGAUGUUAUCGGAUGGAUUUGAGUAAGAGCAUACGGGGCCGGACCCGAAAGAAGGUGAACUAUGCCUGUGUAGGGUGAAGCCAGAGGAAACUCUGGUGGAGGCUCGCAGCGGUUCUGACGUGCAAAUCGAUCGUCAAACAUGGGCAUGGGGGCGAAAGACUAAUCGAACCUUCUAGUAGCUGGUUUCCGCCGAAGUUUCCCUCAGGAUAGCAGUGUUGAACUCAGUUUUAUGAGGUAAAGCGAAUGAUUAGGGACUCGGGGGCGCUAUUUAGCCUUCAUCCAUUCUCAAACUUUAAAUAUGUAAGAAGCCCUUGUUGCUUAAUUGAACGUGGGCAUUCGAAUGAAUCAACACUAGUGGGCCAUUUUUGGUAAGCAGAACUGGCGAUGCGGGAUGAACCGAACGCGAGGUUAAGGUGCCAGAGUAGACGCUCAUCAGACACCACAAAAGGUGUUAGUACAUCUUGACAGCAGGACGGUGGCCAUGGAAGUCGGAAUCCGCUAAGGACUGUGUAACAACUCACCUGCCGAAUGUACUAGCCCUGAAAAUGGAUGGCGCUCAAGCGUCUCACCCAUACCUCGCCCUCAGGGUAGAAACGAUGCCCUGAGGAGUAGGCGGACGUGGAGGUCAGUGACGAAGCCUAGG